GAUGUUAGCGAUAACGAUGAUGGUAGGGCUCGUGGUAACGACAACGACGACGACGAUGAUGACGAUGGCGAUGAUGAUGAUGAUGUUAGUGAUGAUGUUAGCGAUGGAGCGCGGCGUCCGACGUGAGCGUUGCUGACGAUCCGCAGAGAAGGCGAAUCUGAACCGGUGCGCAAAUCGGGAUUCUCCCGACUGGAUGUCGACUCCUGCGGGUCACACAAUCCGUUCAGCUCGGGCCACGCCGACUCUGACGGAGAGUGGAGUCCACCACACAACCCGGACGACUCCGACCACGACUCCCGCAACCCGUUCAGCGACAGCCACCUCGAGGACGACGGAGAGUGGAGUCCACCACAUGAGCCGGACGACUCCGACCACGACUCCCGCAAUCCGUUCAGCGACAGGUAGGAAGCCAGGUGCCACC